UACGUAGGGUGCAAGCGUUAAUCGGAAUUACUGGGCGUAAAGCGUGCGCAGGCGGUUUUGUAAGACAGAGGUGAAAUCCCCGGGCUUAACCUGGGAAUGGCAUUUGGGACUGCAAGGCUUGAGUGCGGCAGAGGAGACUGGAAUUCCUGGUGUAGCAGUGAAAUGCGUAGAUAUCAGGAGGAAUACCGAUGACGAAGGCAGGUCUCUGGGCUGACACUGACGCUCAUGCACGAAAGCGUGGGGAGCAAACAGG
rnacentral:rRNA from 1 species